rnacentral:RNase_P_RNA from 2 species
CGGAGUAGACGAGUAGUAAAGGUUCUUCGAAUCAGGAAAGUCCGGCUACCACAGAGAAAGGGAUAUUGUGAAAGCAAUCAGGUGAGAAUCUGGCUCUGGUAAUAGAAACGUAAGCUCCUUGGGAGCCUGGAACGAGCUAUCAUCCCGGUACAAGCAGAAUUAAAUUCAUUCGGUUUACCGAUCAGUGUUCUCGCAUUGUGAAUUUAGGUAUGUGCAUAGAUCAAUACUACUAUAGAAAAAGCAGGUUUUAAUUAACCGUGCAUCUUAACAGAAGCUGGCUUAUGUUCUACACCG